rnacentral:rRNA from 1 species
CACGUAGGGGGCGAGCGUUGUCCGGAUUUAUUGGGCGUAAAGAGCUCGUAGGCGGCUCGGUAAGUCGGGUGUGAAAACUCGGGGCUCAACCCCGAGACGCCACUCGAUACUGCUGUGGCUUGAGUCCGGUAGGGGAGCAUGGAAUUCCUGGUGUAGCGGUGAAAUGCGCAGAUAUCAGGAGGAACACCAGUGGCGAAGGCGGUGCUCUGGGCCGGAACUGACGCUGAGGAGCGAAAGCGUGGGGAGCAAACAGG